GACGAACGCUGGCGGCGUGCUUAACACAUGCAAGUCGAGCGAGUGGAUUCCCUUCGGGGAUGAAGCUAGCGGCGGACGGGUGAGUAACACGUGGGCAACCUGCCUUAUAGAGGGGGAUAGCCUUCCGAAAGGAAGAUUAAUACCGCAUAACAUCAGAUUAUCGCAUGGUAGACUGAUCAAAGGAGCAAUCCACUAUAAGAUGGGCCCGCGUCGCAUUAGCUAGUUGGUGAGGUAACGGCUCACCAAGGCGACGAUGCGUAGCCGACCUGAGAGGGUGAUCGGCCACAUUGGGACUGAGACACGGCCCAGACUCCUACGGGAGGCAGCAGUGGGGAGUAUUGCACAAUGGGGGAAACCCUGAUGCAGCAACGCCGCGUGAGUGAUGAAGGCCUUCGGGUUGUAAAGCUCUUUGAUCAGGGACGAUAAUGACGGUACCUGAAGAACAAGCCACGGCUAACUACGUGCCAGCCGCCGCGGUAAAAC
rnacentral:rRNA from 1 species